GACGAACGCUGGCGGCGUGCUUAACACAUGCAAGUCGAACGCUGAAGGCUUGGCUUUUGUUGGGAUGGGUGAGUGGCGAACAGGUGAGUAACACGUGAGUAACCUGCCCUACUCUUUGGGAUAACGCACAGAAACGGGUGCUAAUACCGGAUAUUCACUGCUGUUCGCAUGGGGGUUGGCGGCAGGGUUUGUUCUGGUGGGGGAUGGGCCCGCGGACUAUCAGCUUGUUGGUGGGGUGAUGGCGUAGCAAGGCUUUGACGGGUAGACGGCCUGAGAGGUUGACCGGUCACGUUGAGAAUGAGAUACGGUCCGGACUCCUACGGGAGGCAGCAGUGGGGGAUAUUGCACAAUGGGCGAAAGCCUGAUGCAGCGACGCCGCGUGGGGGAUGGGGGCCGUCGGGGUGUAAGCCUCAUUCGCUCAUGAUCAAGCCGCAACGGGGGGUUGUGGUGAGGGUAGUGGGUAAAGAAGCGCCGGCUAACUACGUG
rnacentral:rRNA from 1 species